GUCAGGAACCCCACAGCUACAAGCUGGGGGCUUGGAAUUUAGCCCAUACCUGACCAGAAGACCAGAGUAAUCUGGUAGCCGUUAUGGGGAAGCGUUAAAGUUCCGACCUACGGGUGCGUGCCAGCCUGUAGCUCUCGAA
rnacentral:sRNA from 21 species